GGGAGAAAAGCAGUUUGGGAAAAAGGGUCUGUAUAUAGGGGAUAGUGGAUGUAGAAUAAGGGAUAUGGUCUAUAAUUGGUGGAUAUUAACUAUGGUAGAAAGGAUAUGGGCUGCAUUGGGGGAUAGUGGCUAAAGUAGAGGGAUAGGGACUGUAGUGGGGGAUAGUGGCAACAGGGGAGAAUAGUGGCUGUAAUGGAGGAUCAGAGCUGCAGUAGGGAUGAUAGUAGCUGUAGUGGGUGUGAUAGUGGCUAUAAUGGGGUAUAGGUGUUAUAGUGAGGGUACGGGAUUGGUAGUGGGGGUUAUUGGCUGUUUAGCAGUAUCACAGCCAGUGAGGGAGUAGAGCCUCUACUCUGGCCAAGAAGAUCUCCCAUCACUGGCCCCACAAGAGGAGAAUGGGCUGGCAGAUGACAAAGUUCUUUUAUCUCCCCUCCGGCUGUGCAGUACCUCUGCUGUCUGCUGCCCUGAGGCUGUGGUCUCUGUGACAUAAUCGCAAAGACUUCCUUGGUUUCAUAGUCCAAAAUAAUUAUAUCUGUUCCAUCCCAAUGGAACAAUGGUAAUUUAGAUAUCUGCAUAUAUAUAGUACUACCAAUGACAUAGCUAUUAUCUAUGACCAUAAUGUACUCUCCCAUCAAAACAGAUCCAGCCUAAAUCCUUUUGGCCAAGGCUUCAUUGACUAAAACCAACAUAGCUCUGGUUCUAAUCCAGUUUUGGGAUUUUAUGCAAAGCAAACUGUAAUUUAUAUUAAACCUUUAAAUCCCACCAUGGGUUGGAUUUGUUGAUUCAGCACAUCCAACAGAUCUUCAAUCAGAAUUUGGAGCCAAUGCAACACCUUUGUCAUGCUCCUCAAACCAUUCCUGAGCAAUUUUUGCAGUGUUGCAGGGAGCACUAGCCUGCUGAAAGAGAUCACUGCCAUCAGGGAACAUGAUUGCCAUGAAGGAGUUUACGUUGUCUGCAACAAUCCCUAAGUUGGUGGCACGUGCAGUGGUGUAUUUUGGAUUUGUGUUGCACUAGGCACGACUAAAUUCGGGCACCCCCCAAAUCUAAAUUUGCCCCCCCAAUUCAUGUCAAGGGUACUUUUUUGACUGACAGACACAGGCCCGCAUUGAUACAUAAACUGACAGAUACAGUCAUUGGCACACACACUGUUUAACCAACACACACUUUCACUGACACACCCACUCACUGACAUACACAUCCUCACUGAUUUGACACACUCUGACAGACACACACACACUUUCACUAACUCACAGACACACACUGACAGCUCGCGCCCUGCUUAGUGAUGCCGGGGCCACAUCAUAUUCCGGCUAUCAGCAUCACAGAAGGGCACAUGAGAGAGCAAAAAGAGCGGAGGACAGUGCUUCCUUGCCACCCAGCUAGAAUAUUUUCACCUCGUGGGGGCCCUAAGGUGGACAGCCCUAGGACAUGAAAAAACAAAUUCCUUGUUUGCCUUGUGGUAAAUACAGCCUGGGCAUGUGCCAAAGUAACAUCCACAUGAAUGCAAGGACCCAACUUUUACCAGCAGAACAUUGCUCAGAGCAUGAUACUGCCCCACGUGGUUUCUUCCCAUAGGGCCUCCUGCUGCCAUCUCUUCCUCAGGUGUCAUCAUGUGCACUUUGACCAGUCUGCAACUACGCAGCAAACUGCAAUGCACUGUGUAUUCUAACAACUUUCUAUCAUCGCCAGCAUUAGGUAUUUUAGCAAUUUGAGCUACAGUAGCUUUUCUGUGUGAUUGGACCAGUCAGGCUAGCCUUCGCUCCACAUGUGCAUCAGUGAGACUUUGGCGCCCAUGACCCUCACAUUGGUUCACCAGAUGUUCUUCCUUAAACCAUUUUUGGUAGGUACUAACCACUACAUACCAGAAACACCUCACAAUACUUGCCAUUUUGGAGAUGCUCUGACCCAGUCGUCUAGCAAUCACUAUUUGACCUUUGUCAACGUCACUCAGAUCUUUUCGCUUGCCCAUUUUACCUGCUUCCAACACAUAAAAUUCAAGAGCUGACUGUUCACUUGUGCCCCAAUAUAUUCCACCCCUUGACAGGUGACAUUGUAACUAUAUAAUCAAUGUUAUUUACUUCAGCUGCCAGUUGUGGCUGAUUAGUGUAAUAGCAUGGCUUAGACUGAAUUGUGCCUAGUACAAUAAACAUAUUUAGAUCAACACUAAUGCUAUCAAGAACCUUCAAUAGCUUCCAGGAAUGAAGUGCAGUAGAUGGAUCACAUCAUUGUCAUACAGCAAAAGGGAACUCAUCAGUUAUUUCAAUUGUUUGUUACACUACAUAUUUAACCUUGCAAUGUGUUGCAUAAAGUGAAAAUCAUAAUCUCAUAAAAAAGGAAGCCAGCUAUUUGUUUUAAUAGUAACUAUAAUCUGGUUGGACUCUAUUUCUAAGUGCCCAUUUGUACAAGUCACCACUGAGUUGCAGUGCUAAGGCUUACAACAUAAC